UACAGAGGUCUCAAGCGUUGUUCGGAUUCAUUGGGCGUAAAGGGUGCGUAGGCGGCGGGGCAAGUCUGGUGUGAAAUCCCGGGGCUCAACCCCGGAACUGCACUGGAUACUGCUUUGCUAGAGUACUGGAGAGGGAACUGGAAUUUACGGUGUAGCAGUGAAAUGCGUAGAUAUCGUAAGGAAGACCAGCGGCGAAGGCGAGUUCCUGGACAGUUACUGACGCUGAGGCACGAAGGCCAGGGGAGCGAACGGG
rnacentral:rRNA from 1 species